UUGGUCAAUGGACGCAAGUCUGAACCAGCCAUGCCGCGUGAAGGAUUAAGGCCCUCUGGGUUGUAAACUUCUUUUAUAGGGGAAGAAAUGUGACGGUUCUCCGUCACUUGACGGUACCCUGGGAAUAAGCACCGGCUAACUCCGUGCCAGCAGCCGCGGUAAUACGGAGGGUGCAAGCGUUAUCCGGAUUCACUGGGUUUAAAGGGUGCGUAGGUGGGCAGAUAAGUCAGUGGUGAAAUCUUCCGGCUUAACCGGGAAACUGCCGUGGAUACUAUUUGUCGUGAAUAUUGCGGAGGUAAGCGGAAUAUGUCAUGUAGCGGUGAAAUGCUUAGAUAUGACAUAGAACACCAAUUGCGAAGGCAGCUUACUACACAAUCAUUGACACUGAGGCACGAAAGC
rnacentral:rRNA from 1 species